CCUACGGGUGGCAGCAGUCGAGAAUCAUUCACAAUGGGGGAAACCCUGAUGGUGCGACGCCGCGUGGGGGAAUGAAGGUCUUCGGAUUGUAAACCCCUGUCAUGUGGGAGCAAAUUAAAAAGAUCGUACCACAAGAGGCAGAGACGGCUAACUCUGUGCAGCAACCGCGGUAAUACAGAGGUCUCAAGCGUUGGUCGGAAUCACUGGGCGUAAAGCGUGCGCAGGCUGGUUCGUAAGUUGUGUGUGAAAGGCGCGGGCUCAACCCGCGGACGGCACAUGAUACUGCGAGACUGGAGUAAGGGAGGGGGAACCGGAAUUCUCGGUGUAGCAGUGAAAUGAGUAGAUAGCGAGAGGAACACUCGUGGCGAAGGCGGGUUGCUGGACAUUAACUGACGCUGAGGCACGAAGGCCAGGGGAGCGAAAGGGAUUAGAUACCCUUGUAGUC
rnacentral:rRNA from 1 species